rnacentral:rRNA from 1 species
UACGGGGGGGGCAAGCGUUGUUCGGAAUUACUGGGCGUAAAGGGCUCGUAGGCGGCCAACUAAGUCAGACGUGAAAUCCCUCGGCUUAACCGGGGAACGGCAUCUGAUACUGGCUGGCUGGAGUUCGGGAGAGGGAUGCGGAAUUCCAGGUGUAGCGGUGAAAUGCGUAGAUAUCUGGAGGAACACCGGUGGCGAAGGCGGCAUCCUGGACCGACACUGACGCUGAGGAGCGAAAGCCAGGGGAGCAAACGGG